CAGACAUCUGAGAAGCAUUGUUUGGAAACAGUUCAGGAUCUACAACAUAGAUGACAACUGAAAAGACAAGAUCGCCAUUAUGUCGACUUUAUACAGAGCAACUGUCUGACUUGUUAGCCUUUAAUAUGACCACUCUCUUCCUUUUUCUUUUCUUUUCUUCUUUGUCUUUUUUUCUUUUCUUAUUCUUCAUCUUAUUCUUGCACCUGACACAUUAUCAGUUAAAUACAAAAAAAAAAAAACUGAGCUGAGUGUUACUUCACGCACGCCAUGAAAUCAGUUCCCAACACAAACCCUAAGCAUCCAAUUGACAAAUGUCUAUCAAAUCUCCCGCUAAAUUCUACUCUUUGUACCUGUGGGUGUUUGCUUUAUAUUCAGUCAUAUUUACAGACACUGGAACCAUGUAACAGAACCACAGAGUGAAUCCAUAAAACCGGUUAGAAAGAAAGCUUCACCUCCAGCCAGGAAACCUCACCAGCUAUUGACUUCGUCCCAUCUCCAGAAGGUCAUUCAGGGGGAGAGGCUGGCUCUAGCCCAGUCUAACCCCCGGGUAAAAUGUACACACAGCUAGAUAGUGUCAAUGCUAGCAUGUCUUUGCAAAUCUCAAAAUAGUACUUAUGGACAAAAUAGAUUUGCACAUAUAUGCAUAUAUGCAGACAAGGGCUUUGUUAUCCUCAUUCCUCCUUAAAGAACAAAAAUAGGAGUAAAAAAAAAAAAAUUGUGCCUCUCUUAAGGGGCCCUGUGCCACCAGAACAAUAGUUUUGCCCUACAGAAUGCCUGUAUGAAAUAUAACCCCAUUCCCUGAGCCAGGACCCUGUGGUUUUGUGAUAAAUCGCUCCCUGAGCUGCUAGACAAGAGGAAAACAUGCAUAACCAAGACCUGGGCACAGGGCACAGCUCUGCUGCUUACAACCUGCAUUGGAUUAGCAGGAAAAAAGAUGGUGCUAUAUUCUAAUCAUUGUUUCCAUCUAGUUUCGUCUGAGGAAGCAGCUUUAUCUGAGCAACCUUAACAGACCUCAUUGAGAGGAAAUAGAGAAGCAGUUUGACUUUUAGUACAAUGUUUUUCUUUAUCUCCAAGGAAGCACUUGUUUCCUUCAUGAUAUCUACAGUUCUGGAAAAAGGAGCACGGAUACUGCAGUUUUAGGAGGAUUUGCUUUUAGAUGGGGGAGAAUCACUGCUGGGUUUUUUUUGGCUUUUUGAAAGCUGCACAUACCAGACUGUCUCUCUCUUUCUCUGUACUUGUGGCCAUUUGAUAGAUGCUAGUCUUUGAACCCUGUCCAGUGUGUUUCACAUACACCAAAGUCAAACACAAACCAGCUUCCCCUUCACUUUUAUCCCCUUAAGGCUGCUGCAAUCACCCUGUUGUCUUCCUUUCCCCCUUCCGCCACAUUUGACCAGCUUCAAAUACUGUACUUUGCUUUACUGUUUCUUUAUCUCUCCCCCGUUAACCCCCCUCCCCUCCACCAUCCCUCUAUCCCAUUGAGUUUCUGCACAAUUAGCCUGGUGGGAGAGAUGGAUGGCAGGACUGGUGAAGGUGACGAUGGGAGGAGAGAGCAGGGAAAAAGGUAAAGAGGAAAGAAGGAGAGAGAUGAGGGGGGAUGUAAGGAAAUAAGCAGAGGACAGACACAGGAAGGAAAUGAGACGAAGGGCAGGAGGUGCACUCAGCUCUGCAGUAACACACAGACAGUACACAGCCAUUGGAUAACACAAAAAGCAAAGUAAUGGCUUGUGUCGGGCUGCUUCCUGCUCUUUAAUGAAAACACACAACCCCUCUCCUGCUACAAUCUCCACUGGAUUCCAUCUCCACCAUGCUGCCAUGUCACAAAGUUACUUUAAUGACCCAGCAUGCAGCGGGGAGGUGUGAAAUAUGGCAAAAAGGAAGCAGAUGAUGGCCUUCCAUAUUAUCAGACAUGAUUUCCACUGGAGAAAAAAUUAUACUAGUAAAAAUGACAACAUGGAAUUUUUCAUGUGUAAACAUAAACAUAUACUUAUAAAUAAUUUCACGCUGAAAGAAGUUGAACGCCGUUAAACUACCCUGGGGGGAAAAGGAAAGCUGUAUUUUACUCAGAAAAGGACUAUUAGUUGCCAAACGCUAGGUAGUCUUAAGGGGAUAUUUGCUGUUGCCCUACUUUGGUCUCCAUCACAGGAAUUCAGACAUUAAUUUACCUGCCGUGCUCUGUUGUAGGCCUCAUUCACUGAACAAUUGUGCAGCUUUUGCAACCUCUAUGUGCAAAUAUGCAAGAAGACAUGAAACUCACGAAGCAUGCUCACUUACUCACACCACGGACUGUUUUGCCAAAAGAGAAGCCCUUUGUACUUCGAUAUGGGGUAAGAUCUGCGCAAAUAUGCUUUUAAGCAUUAAAAAUAUCUAAUGCACAAACACCAGAGCUGUUAACCACAUGCAGCUGGAGUGAAAACCAUCCUCCCAAAGUUGA